rfam:Brachypodium distachyon strain Bd21 chromosome 4, whole genome shotgun sequence.
UUGCUACUCCCUCCGUCCAAUAAAAGAUGUCUCAAAUUUGUCAAAAUUUGGAUAAAUCUAGACAUGACUUAGCUAGUGUAUAGAUGCAUUCAAAUUUAGUCAAAGCUGAGACAUCCUUUGUUGGACGGAAGGAGUAUAAU